rnacentral:rRNA from 1 species
AGCAGCCGCGGUAACUCCAGCUCCAAUAGCGUAUAUUAAAGUUGUUGCAGUUAAAAAGCUCGUAGUUGAAUUUUGGAUUCGGCCAAUUGGUCCAUCUUUUAGAUGAGUACUGGUUGUGUUGGGUCUAUCCGCCUGGUGAUACGUAAUGUCCUUUAUUGGAUGUUGCGGGUAGUCAGGACCUUUACCUUGAAAGAAUUAGAGUGUUUAAAGCAGGCUUAUGCCGGAAUACAUUAGCAUGGAAUAAUAGAAUAGGACGAAGUUGUUUUAUUUUGUUGGUUUCUAGGACAACCGUAAUGAUUAAUAGGGAUAGUUGGGGGCAUUAGUAUUCAAUUGUCAGAGGUGAAAUUCUUGGAUUUAUUGAAGACUAACUACUGCGAAAGCAUUUGCCAAGGAUGUUUUCAUUAAUCAAGAACGAAAGUUAGGGGAUCGAAGACGAUCAGAUACCGUCGU